rnacentral:lncRNA from 1 species
AGAAGAAAAGUGGAUUUUACAAUCUAAAGUAAAGAGUAAUGAUCGUUACUCAGUACGAUAGGAUGUUCUGUGAUAUGUCGAGAUAUGCGCCAGAGCAAGUAAACAUGGAUAAAAAAAAGGGGGGGGGGCUGAAAAACUUUGUGCCGCUCUGAGGCACGAGAUUAGGAUGGCUUUGGCAAGCCAUGGUGGAUUGUCUUACACUGCGCUUAGAAGAGCAUUAAACAUUAGGGCAUCGAUGUCGAUAGAAAGACCAGUAAGGAUGCCUAUGCCAACACCUCCACAGGCACAAACUCAGAACAUUUGAGGAAAAAGAAAAGAGGACAACAGUAACAACUGUCAAAAAAAAAAAAAAAACAAAACACCAUGGCAAGGGCAAUCAUUCCAGCAACAAGGCUACAAAAGCCAAAAGGGUACUCCUAGACAGAUAGGAGAUAACCAACAAAGAAUCCUGCCCUGCCCAAAUUGCAACAAGAACCAUGGGAGAUGAUGCAAUAAUGGAAGAGUGGAAGUGAAGGUUGUUACACAGUAGCCAGAAGGGCAUUAUGCAAACCGUUGUUUGAAUAAGGAACAAGGGACGG